GAACGACACGUCAUCUGUUAUUGAAAACGCCUAUUUUAAGCCUGCCCUAGGACGAUUUUCAAGCGGAAAAUGUAGC
rnacentral:lncRNA from 1 species